CCCCAGUGGGGUCCCUGAGCCGGAGCUCUGCCAACGAGGAACGUACUGCCAAGGUCCAGCAGCCAAGCUGGCUGUGGCCUGUGUGCCUCGCCCUGCCAGUCACCACUGCCCUGAGAGAGGCACCACCACGCCACGACCAUGCAGCACUGGCAGCUUCUCUGGUCCAGGUCAUCUCUGGUGCCAGGAGUGCUCAGGAGGAAAACUCUGCAACCAGACAAAGCUGCUUGGCCCUGG
rnacentral:lncRNA from 1 species